GAAAGCCUCAUGCCCUCUGGAUCCAAAAAAUACCAGAAAAGGAUGGUGUCAGCUCUUAUUUCCAUGGCAACAAGCUUCAGAACUUUUAAGCUUCAACCUCACUAUGAACAUGUCCAAUCAUUUUGAAGCAAAAAACAAAAUCCACCAACACAUAUCAGCUGUUUGGGUUUUUCUCUCUCUCUCUCUCUCUCUCUCUCUCUCCACCCCCACCGUUCUGUGACUCAGCUUCUUGCAUAUCCGGAUGAAACAGAAAGGGUAGGGAGAAGUGGAGGGAGGGCUUUCACUCCCCCGAGAGGAAAAAAGCAGAGUAGGAGAAUAGAGACGAGAUGAGCAGAAGAGAGAGCAAAGGGAUUCUGAGUCACACUCACCCUGGGGUAGGCACCAGCAUGGCCAUAUCUCUACCUCAUUCUCCUUUUUCAUCUCUACCCAUCUCUUCACACAUACACACACUUGUCUCAUGAGGUCCGGACCUACACAGCUACCAGCAGCUGCUCUUCUACCAGACCAUGUGCCUCACAUCCAGUUCAGUUCACGCUGGCCUACUUUCUGCUUGUUGCUUAUGUAAUAAGUCUCCUAGAUUAGGUUAUUUGGGCCCGACACUGACGCAGUUCUUCUGAGGUGAAUGCAGCGAGGGAAGGAGGAGGGAGAGGAACACGAAGAAAGCAAGUGACUUUUCUGAAAGAGCAAGCCAACAAGCUGCUGCCACAAUAUUCUCGCAUCGACUUGCAAAAUGUUGCACAGAUAUUUUAUGCCUGAUAUCAGACAUUUUGGAUUUAAUGUUUGAUCAUUCCCUUUUAACUACCGCACUGCACUUCAUCACAAAUACAAUGACCCCCUGGAUGUAUUAACUCAAAUGAAUAAGGUGAAUAUAAAAUGCCGCUCAUGCUUACAAUAACCAUAGCAAAAGGCUGCAAAGUUAUUCUUAACCAGAAAACCUGCAGGACACAACAGCUCGCAGACUGGACUCCCACACACCACUUGGUUUCUUUCCUCCUGAUAAGAAGGAAACAAUUGUCAAUUCCAUUUAUGACAAAUAGUGUUGAUGCUAAAAUAAAUUGUUUAUAAAGAGUUGGAUAAAUAAUAUCGAUUUUUCAGCAAUGUCCAUUUUUACGUUAACAUGUAUACAUUAUAUAAUUAUUGCAUGAAAUGUUAUAACAUUUAAAUAUGUAAUAAAUAAAAAAAUAGUAUAACAAA